rnacentral:rRNA from 1 species
GACGAACGCUGGCGGCGUGCCUAAUACAUGCAAGUAGAACGCACAGUUUAUACCGUAGCUUGCUACACCAUAGACUGUGAGUUGCGAACGGGUGAGUAACGCGUAGGUAACCUGCCUGGUAGCGGGGGAUAACUAUUGGAAACGAUAGCUAAUACCGCAUAAUAUUAAUUAUUGCAUGAUAAUUAAUUGAAAGGUGCAAUUGCACCACUACCAGAUGGACCUGCGUUGUAUUAGCUAGUAGGUGAGGUAACGGCUCACCUAGGCGACGAUACAUAGCCGACCUGAGGGGGGGAUCGGCCACACUGGGACUGAGAAACGGCCCAGACUCCUACGGGAGGCAGGAGGAGGGAAUCUUCGGAAAGGGCAGAAAGUCUGACCGAGCAACGCCGCGUGAGUGAAGAAGGUUUUCGGAUCGUAAAGCUCUGUUGUAAGAGAAGAACGGGUGUGAGAGUGAAAAGUUCACACUGUGACGGUAUCUUACCAGAAAGGGACGGCUAACUACG